GCGGAUGUAGCUCAAUGGUAGAGCGGUGGGCCUCCAACCCACUGACGAGGGUUCGAAUCCCUUCAUCCGCU
rnacentral:tRNA from 1 species